UGCAUGCCCUGUGUUAGUACCACCUCGCCUAGCCAAGGGGGCCGUGUUGCACUUAUAAGGGCGGGCCUCCCUCCUCUCUCAGCCUAGGUUUUGAGAGCGAGGUGCCUGUCUGAAUAGGCUGCGCGCGAGCGCAUGAACGCCCGACGCUGGUGAUGGUGGGCUUUGGCGGACUGGCCCAGUGGGUGCGUUACAAAUGGUAUCGGAGCCCACAUUGCCGCUGCUGCCUGGGAGAGCUUUGGGCCUCUUAGGGGGGUGGGAUGUAAGGGGCCGGUAUGCAUGCCCUGGGUUAGUACCACCUCGCCUAGCCAAGGGGGCCGUGUUGCACUUAUAAGGGCGGGCCUCCCUCCUCUCUCAGCCUAGGUUUUGAGAGCGAGGUGCCUGUCUGAAUAGGCUGCGCGCGAGCGCAUGAACGCCCGACGCUGGUGAUGGUGGGCUUUGGCGGACUGGCCCAGUGGGUGCGUUACAAAUGUCAGCAGCUCUAGGUGCUAUACAAAAGUUAAGGAUGGUAGCUCCGGAUGUUCUACGGAAGCCAAGCCAUGCAAGACGAGGAGAAGCAGGCUUCUGAAGCUGUUGAAAGAGGGAAGCUGAGAAGAGUAGCCGAGAGACUAAGCCCAACAAGAAGUAUAUUGGUGUCAAUAGGCUGUAAUAGGGCCCACAUAUUUGUUAGCUAUAAAAGAGGGAAAACUGCUCGUCUGUAACCUGGCUUUUGGCUAACGAUGAACUUGGAAAGGAAGAUAGAACAUAGAACUGAUUCCUGAGUGUCUGGUGAGUCUUGUGAGAGGGUGUUGUUAACAUUUGGUAUCAGAGCUGGUUCUUCC
rnacentral:lncRNA from 1 species